AGCCGAGCGGUAGGUUUCCUUCGGGAGACUGAGAGCGGCGCACGGGUGCGGAACACGUGUGCAACCUGCCUUUAUCAGGGGGAUAGCCUUUCGAAAGGAAGAUUAAUACCCCAUAAUAUUUUGAGUGGCAUCACUUAAAAUUGAAAACUCCGGUGGAUAAAGAUGGGCACGCGCAAGAUUAGAUAGUUGGUGAGGUAACUGGCUCACCAAGUCUACGAUCUUUAGGGGGCCUGAGAGGGUGAUCCCCCACACUGGUACUGAGACACGGACCAGACUCCUACGGGAGGCAGCAGUGAGGAAUAUUGGACAAUGGGUGAGAGCCUGAUCCAGCCAUCCCGCGUGAAGGACGACGGCCCUAUGGGGUUGUAAACUUCUUAUGUAUAGGGAUAAACCUUUCCACGUGUGGAAAGCUGAAGGUCCUAUACCAAUAAGCACCGGUAC
rnacentral:rRNA from 1 species